rnacentral:rRNA from 1 species
UACGUAGGGUGCAAGCGUUAAUCGGAAUUACUGGGCGUAAAGCGUGCGCAGGCGGUUUUGUAAGUCUGACGUGAAAGCCCCGGGCUUAACCUGGGAAUUGCGUUGGAGACUGCAAGGCUUGAAUCUGGCAGAGGGGGGUAGAAUUCCACGUGUAGCAGUGAAAUGCGUAGAGAUGUGGAGGAACACCGAUGGCGAAGGCAGCCCCCUGGGUCAAGAUUGACGCUCAUGCACGAAAGCGUGGGGAGCAAGCAGG